UACGAAGGGGGCUAGCGUUGCUCGGAAUUACUGGGCGUAAAGGGAGCGUAGGCGGGUUAUCAAGUUGGAGGUGAAAGCCCAGGGCUCAACCUUGGAAUUGCCUUCAAAACUGAUAGCCUAGAGUAUGGAAGAGGUAAGUGGAACUCCGAGUGUAGAGGUGAAAUUCGUAGAUAUUCGGAAGAACACCAGUGGCGAAGGCGACUUACUGGUCCAUGACUGACGCUGAGGCUCGAAAGCGUGGGGAGCAAACAGG
rnacentral:rRNA from 1 species